AGAGUUUGAUCAUGGCUCAGGACGAACGCUGGCGGCGUGCUUAACACAUGCAAGUCGAACGGAAAGGCCCUUCGGGGUACUCGAGUGGCAAACGGGUGAGUAACACGUGGGUGAUCUGCCCUGCACUUUGGGAUAAGCCUGGGAAACUGGGUCUAAUACCGAAUAGGACCACGCGCUUCAUGGUGUGUGGUGGAAAGCUUUUGCGGUGUGGGAUGGGCCCGCGGCCUAUCAGCUUGUUGGUGGGGUAAUGGCCUACCAAGGCGACGACGGGUAGCCGGCCUGAGAGGGUGACCGGCCACACUGGGACUGAGAUACGGCCCAGACUCCUACGGGAGGCAGCAGUGGGGAAUAUUGCACAAUGGGCGCAAGCCUGAUGCAGCGACGCCGCGUGAGGGAUGACGGCCUUCGGGUUGUAAACCUCUUUCAAUAGGGACGAAGCGCAAGUGACGGUACCUAUAGAAGAAGCACCGGCCAACUACGUGCCAGCAGCCGCGGUAAUACGUAGGGUGCGAGCGUUGUCCGGAAUUACUGGGCGUAAAGAGCUCGUAGGUGGUUUGUCGCGUUGUUCGUGAAAACUCACAGCUUAACUGUGGGCGUGCGGGCGAUACGGGCAGACUAGAGUACUGCAGGGGAGACUGGAAUUCCUGGUGUAGCGGUGGAAUGCGCAGAUAUCAGGAGGAACACCGGUGGCGAAGGCGGGUCUCUGGGCAGUAACUGACGCUGAGGAGCGAAAGCGUGGGGAGCGAACAGGAUUAGAUACCCUGGUAGUCCAA
rnacentral:rRNA from 1 species